AUGUGGAGAGGGGCGUCGUCCCUACAUCUGUGCACCAGGGCUCAGGAGGGGCCGCUCUGCGUCAGUGCCCCCGAAAUAAUGAACCUAAUCACCUCUCCAGACUAUGCCUGGUCUUAGCCUUGGGAGGGAUCAUUUAUAGGGGGCGGGGCGGUGGAGCGUGACGCCAUCAGAAGGCGUCUGAAGAGGGUCGGGACGCGUGUUGGAGAUGUUGGAGUCGCUGUUGGCUUUUGGUGGCCUGGUGCUCCUGCGGGACUCCGUAGAGUGGGAGGGGCGCAGUCUCCUGAAGGCACUUACCAAGAAAUCUGCACUGCGUGGAGAGCAAGUCCACAUCCUGGGCUGUGAAGUGAGCGAGGAAGAGUUUCGUGAAGGUUUUGACUCCGACGUCAACAGACGGCUGGUUUACCAUGACCUCUUCAGAGACCCUCUCAACUGGUCAAAGACUGGGGACGCUCCUCCUGGGGGGCCCCUGGAAGCCUUGAGAGCCCUGUGCAGGAGGACAGUCCCUGGCCCUGUCACCAUUGCUGUGGAUUCUCUCAGUUGGCUACUGCUUCGCUUUCCCUGCAUCGCAGUCUGCCAGAGCCUGCACGCUCUGAGCCAGCAGGACUCCGGCCGUGGUGACAGCUCCCCAAGAGAGCCGGUGCGUGUGCUAGGCCUGCUGCAUGAAGAGCUUCAUGGCCCAGGCCCCUUGGGAGCCUUGAGCAGCCUCGCUCAGACCGAGGUGACCCUGAGUGGUACCAUGGGCCAGGCCUCGGCCCACAUCCUCUAUCGGAGGCCCCAGCAACGCCCAGCCCGCCAGACUCAGUGGUUCGCCAUCCUUCCUGACUUCAGCCUGGAUCUCCAAGGGGGGCCGCCGCCCGAGUCCCAGCCCCACCCGGAUCCUCACACUCCCCCGGUAUCUGAAGAACCAGGCCAGCACAGGGGCUGGAGGCGGACCCCACGACUCAUUUGACCUUCAACCUUCACCUGUCCAAGAAAGAGAGAGAAGCCAAAGACAGCCUGACCCUGCCCUUCCACUUCAGCUCGGAAAAGCAGCAGGCUCUGCUGUGCCCAGGGCCAGCCCAGGCUACCAGCCGCAUCUUCUAUGAGCCGGAUGCUUACGACGACCUGGACCAAGAAGACCCAGAUGACGACCUAGAUGUUUGAGUGGCCGGGAGAGCUGACUGGACUCUAAUGGGGGGGGGGGCCUUGGGCCCAUAACCACCCUUCCUUUGUCUCUGGUGGCCUCACCCUGUCUCUGCCCCGACUUUGUUCCCUGAGUCUGAAGGCCCUGCCCUGUGACCCAUGAGCCAGGCAGCAGCUUCCAGUUGGGACAGAAUGCAGGCGGGGGUGGGGGGGGCAGAAGGGGAGGUGAGAGGAUAGGAACAGCCCCAUGCCCUUCCCCAGCCUAAUAAAAUCU